GAUGAACGCUGGCGGCGUGCCUAAUACAUGCAAGUCGAGCGAAUGGAUUAAGAGCUUGCUCUUAUGAAGUUAGCGGCGGACGGGUGAGUAACACGUGGGUAACCUGCCCAUAAGACUGGGAUAACUCCGGGAAACCGGGGCUAAUACCGGAUAACAUUUUGAACCGCAUGGUUCGAAAUUGAAAGGCGGCUUCGGCUGUCACUUAUGGAUGGACCCGCGUCGCAUUAGCUAGUUGGUGAGGUAACGGCUCACCAAGGCAACGAUGCGUAGCCGACCUGAGAGGGUGAUCGGCCACACUGGGACUGAGACACGGCCCAGACUCCUACGGGAGGCAGCAGUAGGGAAUCUUCCGCAAUGGACGAAAGUCUGACGGAGCAACGCCGCGUGAGUGAUGAGGGCUUUCGGGUCGUAAAACUCUGUUGUUAGGGAAGAACAAGUGCUAGUUGAAUAAGCUGGCACCUUGACGGUACCUAACCAGAAAGCCACGGCUAACUGCGUGCCAGCCGCCGCGGUAA
rnacentral:rRNA from 1 species